rnacentral:rRNA from 1 species
AGAGUUUGAUCAUGGCUCAGGACGAACGCUGGCGGCACGCUUAACACAUGCAAGUCGAACGAGAGAAGAGGAGCUUGCUUUUCUGAUCUAGUGGCGGACGGGUGAGUAACACGUGAGCAAUCUGCCUUUCAGAGGGGGAUACCGAUUGGAAACGAUCGUUAAUACCGCAUAACAUAACUGAACCGCAUGAUUUGAUUAUCAAAGAUUUAUCGCUGAAAGAUGAGCUCGCGUCUGAUUAGCUAGUUGGUAAGGUAACGGCUUACCAAGGCGACGAUCAGUAGCCGGACUGAGAGGUUGAUCGGCCACAUUGGGGCUGAGACACGGCCCAGACUCCUACGGGAGGCAGCAGUGGGGAAUAUUGCACAAUGGAGGAAACUCUGAUGCAGCGAUGCCGCGUGAGGGAAGAAGGUUUUAGGAUUGUAAACCUCUGUCUUCAGGGACGAAAAAAGACGGUACCUGAGGAGGAAGCUCCGGCUAACUACGUGCCAGCAGCCGCGGUAAUACGUAGGGAGCGAGCGUUGUCCGGAAUUACUGGGUGUAAAGGGAGCGUAGGCGGGAUCGCAAGUCAGAUGUGAAAACUAUGGGCUUAACCCAUAAACUGCAUUUGAAACUGUGGUUCUUGAGUGAAGUAGAGGUAAGCGGAAUUCCUAGUGUAGCGGUGAAAUGCGUAGAUAUUAGGAGGAACAUCAGUGGCGAAGGCGGCUUACUGGGCUUUAACUGACGCUGAGGCUCGAAAGCGUGGGGAGCAAACAGGAUUAGAUACCCUGGUAGUCCACGCCGUAAACGAUGAUUACUAGGUGUGGGGGGACUGACCCCUUCCGUGCCGCAGCAAACGCAAUAAGUAAUCCACCUGGGGAGUACGACCGCAAGGUUGAAACUCAAAGGAAUUGACGGGGGCCCGCACAAGCAGUGGAGUAUGUGGAUUAAUUCGAAGCAACGCGAAGAACCUUACCAGGUCUUGACAUCGUAUGCAUAGCUCAGGGAUGAGUGAAAUCUCUUCGGAGACAUAUAGACAGGUGGUGCAUGGUUGUCGUCAGCUCGUGUCGUGAGAUGUUGGGUUAAGUCCCGCAACGAGCGCAACCCUUACUGUUAGUUGCUACGCAAGAGCACUCUAGCAGGACUGCCGUUGACAAAACGGAGGAAGGUGGGGAUGACGUCAAAUCAUCAUGCCCCUUAUGACCUGGGCCUCACACGUACUACAAUGGCUGUCAACAGAGGGAAGCAAAGCCGCGAGGUGGAGCGAACCCCUAAAGCAGUCUUAGUUCGGAUUGUAGGCUGCAACCCGCCUACAUGAAGUCGGAAUUGCUAGUAAUCGCAGAUCAGCAUGCUGCGGUGAAUACGUUCCCGGGCCUUGUACACACCGCCCGUCACGCCAUGGGAGUCGGUAACACCCGAAGCCUGUAGUCUAACCGCAAGGAGGACGCAGUCGAAGGUGGGAUUGAUGACUGGGGUGAAGUCGUAACAAGGUA